rnacentral:rRNA from 1 species
UCCCGGCUAACUUCGUGCCAGCAGCCGCGGUAAGUACGAGGGGAGCAAGCGUUAUUCGGAAGUUACUGGGCGUAAAGGGCGUGUAGGCGGCAACUUAAGUCGUAGUGUUAAAGACCGGUGCAUACCACCGGAGCGGCAUGCGAAACUGGGUUGCUAGAGUGUAAGAGAGAGGAGUGGAAGUUCUUGGAGUAGCGGUAGAAUGCGUAGAUCUCAAGAGGAACACCGAUGGCGAAGGCAGCUCCUUGGCUUACAACUGACGCUGAGACGCGAAAGCGUGGGGAGCAAACAGGAUUAGAUACCCCUGGUAG